GCUCAUGGAAAUUGCGUUUGUGCUUUGACAUUCUUGUAUAACGCCAGUAUUUCUGGGGAAGAGCUGGCAGUUAAAGUGCUAAAGGAUUGUUGCAGUCACAGUGGUAACCCCAAGGACUUCGGUGUAGUCUGGGAAAGAGCGCUGGCGUUGGGCUUGCUGCCUUGCAGAGUGAUUUUCUACCCUCACGUGAUCAUCGCAUUGAUGCAAGGGUGCAGGCUGUCUAGCUGUCCUGAGAUGUACCUGUCGUGCGGUGACGUGCCUGUGGUGAUGUGAAGUGUCAGUGUUACCCGCUUUGGGAUACGAUCUCGAAUGUCUCCUCCAAGAAAGGAUUAAACCCUGUGCAAGAAUC